CAAGGAGGAAGGGAGAUCAGAGCCUGCAGGGGAGGCUGGAGAGAAGGGGCGGCCCGGCUGUGCUUGGGGAUAGCCGGGAUAGGAGGGACGCUGGCCCUGUGCCCUCCGGAGGUGCCGGGCGCUUCCAGCGCCUCUCCUACGCUUCCACACUACAGUCCAGCUCGGGCUUCUACAUUUCAAUGUUGUAAAAAAGCGCUCCAAAUGAUGGGAAAUUCCUGUUAUGCCCUGUUUUACGGCGUGCAGUGACGCUGUGAAGCAAACAAUAACUCGCGUGUUCCUCGUUAGCAGCUGAAGCUCUGAUUGAAAUGUUAAUAGCUCAUCAGGCCUUGGCAAGAACACGGAUAAUAUUUAACUUAGCGAUACUGCAGAAACCCUACAGAGCUAGAAUUAGGAAAUAAUUUGCAAGGCAAUGGGUUAGAAGGUUUUAAUCAUUUGGAUAUUUCUUAAGGUGAUUGCUAUUGAUGGAAGAUGAACUGCAGCAAGGUGAAGUCUGUGGUUUGAUCUGAAGCCUUUGAGCUUUGUUAUUCUAAUCUCUUCUGGCAUGGAGUACUGCAGCCAUGAGCAGGUUAAAAAAAGGAAAAAGAAAAAGCCUUGUGACCUUUCUUUGGAAGUGGAGAGUGUCACUGAACCAGGAAAGGCAGCAUCUGUGGGGUAUGAAAUGGUAUCAGAGGGUAUGAGAUGGUUAGAAAUAGUAAAAUAAUAAAUUGGCAGAUGCAUAGGCAUUUUAUUUGUUGCACGAUAAGAGUGGGAGAGAGUCAGGGAACGUGGUUGCCACAAGUCCGUGAUAAUAAUAGUUUAAAAAAAUAAAAAUAUUACCUAUGGAUUUGGGGGAAAGAUCUUUAUUUCUGAGCUUAGGAUACUUUCUAUGCAAGUCCAGCUUCUAACAUCUUCAGCCAAGAGUCAUGAAAGCUAUGCAGAAAGACUUCUCGUUUCAAUUUCUCUUCAGCUUUUACCACUGUGAGAAUUAUGCAUCUUUAAUUUCUUUGCAGAACUUCCCUUAAAAACAGCUCCUCAAUAUUAGGAUUACUGAAGUGUUACCUGGGGCUGUGUGGGGAGUGGGACUAGAAGAGAUCUGAAGGCUGCCCAGCCUUGGAGUUUCCUCAACUGCACAGUGCAAGAGAGAAUUUAUUUGAGACAUGAGUUUGGUUUGAGUCAUUUAGUGUUACCUCAGGGCUUGGCUUUCAAGAAGGCAUUUACAGACAAAGUGCUGGUUCUGGGGGCUCUGGGGAAGAGCUGGAGUUUGCAUUUCUGAGUUUUAUUACCCACAUGUUUCAGUUGCCCCUAAGAACUUUGGCUAAUUGCGUCGUAUUGUUGAUUAUUAAAGCCAAAGAAAAACCCCAAGGAAGACAAUGUACUGGAGUGCCUCACAGAAACUGUGCCUUCUGCUGCUGAAACAGAAAAAUCAGUUGGAUGUACAAGAAAGAAAUACCUCCAUGGAGAUACAGAUGGAAGUGCUUUGUACAGAGCCUCAUCUGUCCCAUUCCAUGGAUUUCAAGUGUAUAGGACUUGUAGCAAGUUGGAUAUUGGAAGAAUUACAUAAAUUAGGUGAGCAGAGUGCAUCUGCUGGAGAGCAGCAGCUUAUCCCAUUUUCCAGGGCGUGUUAUCUGGCUGCCAGGGGCAGAAGGGACUCCACUCUCACUCUCCCAGCUCACUGAUGUGAUGGAGCCCGUGUUCAGGUGACACAGGAUCACUUGUUCUGAGAUCUGAGCCCAGCAAUCGCAGACUCCUCACACCACCCCACUAACUCUCCUCACUGCUGCCAUUGGCCUUCCAGCAGCUUGCAGGUUGGAGUGAGGGGUUCAGUAGGGGGUUUUGCCACCACAGCCAGCACUGGGGAGAAUAGAGGUGCUGCUGUGGUGCUUCCCUCUUGCUGUGUGCUACUUCCUUUCUAUUUUCUCAGGUGCCACCUCCUCAGGCUCAUCGCAGAGGCUCUGUUUGGAGCAGAGGAAGAACUGGACGUGGCUGCUGAGCUGUAUCUCCCUGAAUAUCUGGAUACAGCUGCCACACCAGUAGGUGUGACCUCAGGAAGGCAUAAAAUCCAGAGCUGAGAGACGAGGAGUGGAGCUUUUCACAGCUUCAUGAACAGGUUAAAUGAUAGCAGCGUAAGCGGGGCUGCUCCUGCUCUUACUUGGAGGAGACACUGUAGGAUUCCAGUGUGUGCAUGGUUUUCAUUAGGCUCUGUAACUCUUAAUAGUUGAUUUUUAUGAAAGCACCAUGAGUUAUUUAUUAAGCAGUUCGUAUUUGUGGACUAUGGGAUUUUUACUUGUGCUUUAAUGUUAAGAUUAAAAAAUAACCAAUUUGGCAACUAUGCUUUUAUAGAAUUUUCAUUAUCAAAUGAUGCUGUGUGUAAUUGUGAGUUAUUUUGUGACUGAAUCACAGAUUACCUCACAGUAGAGCUCAGAGCUGGGGGCUAUGCUGUCAUUGCACCCCCUGCAUGUCUUGCUCAUGCUUUUUAACCUUGAAAAACUUGCCAAAUAUAUCAAGUGUGUGAAAUGUUAGAUUUUGUAGGAAACAAAGACAGGGAAUGAGGUGAAAUAAGUAGUACACAAAAUUGUGAUUUCAAAUUAGUUUGGCAAUGGAAGGCAGACAGUGAGACAUUACCACUGCACAAAGCUUUUUGCCCUGGCUUUUUCUGUCCAGUCUUAGCUCUACCUUCUGGAGAGGAGUGAAAGCCACACGUGCUCUCAGCUGAAGGGGUCAGAAGUCAGCCAUGAGCUUUUGUUUUCGAUAGCCUGCAGGGAGAAAGGCUGACUGGACAGCCUUGGGGAUAAACCGCUGUCUCCAAAAUGAAGGAGCUUUGGGGAUCUUGGCAGACCAGGAUUAUCACUCUGUUUGUUGGUGGUUAGGGCUCUUGGGGUUUUAUUGUCUUAGGGCUGGGGUUUUUGGGGGUGGUGACUGUGAUGUUUUCUUAGCCAGUUCCUGGUACUGGCCCCUCAGAGCUCAGUGUCUGUUCGCAAGUGUUUGCCCUGAUGAUUCUCUGCGAGGUUUUCUGGAGUUCUGCUGGUUUGCAUAUGCCCACGGUGGGCUGGCAAACGGGGCUCUGAGGCUCACGGGGUGAAGCUAAUCCGUGCUCCUGCACUCUUGGCAGAAUUCCUGGCAGGACUUUAGGCCAUGAGGGGAGUUGGAUGGAGGACAAGGGUCGGGGGGAGGUUGGAAAUUGCAUUUAAGGCUCUGCUGGGAGUCUUAAUACUGGUAAUGUGUUCACUCUGAUAAAGUAGGAAAAAGUGCUUGCUGGGAAAGCUGACAAGAGACAGCCAGAUCCAUUUUGGAGCUAGGGUUAGAAGGCUCCUUCCUGACACUUUGCUUGGCUGGACAGCCUUAGUUUACUAUUUUAGAGCAAACAACAAAGCAGCUCAGCAUUGUGGUGCCAGAGUAGCAAUAGAGCACUUCCUGUACUUGAAAUUCAAUUUUACAUUCCCUGCAGAAAUACACAUGGUUUUCACUGAAAUAAAUAGAGUUUAGCAUGUUUGGUAUUAAUAUUACUGGCUCCUUGCUGUUUGUAUGCGUUUUUGUGCCAGAAUACUUUUAUAUGAGAAAAAUAUGUCCUGAAAGCUUUUGUAGGGAUGAAACAUCAUUCAGUUUACUUGGAAAAUGCCUCCAGAAGGUCUCAAGUGGUGCUGUGUAUUAAUCUAUAAUAGGAUGGAGUGAUUCAAACUGACCUUCACAAAGUGUUUAGCUGAGUGAACACUUUCUGUGGUAGGGUUUUCAUUUGUAAAUCCAGGGUGCCAGAGGGAAUAAUGGAUGGGAAAAAGAAGUACUUCCAGAGUAGCAAACUCUGAAGCUGAACCGACAUGAAGGAAUGAGAUAAGGGUUGAGCAAAAGGUGCAAAUGAAUUAAGUGGGUUUUUCUGCCAGGCCUUCACUGUUCACCACAAAAUACAUGAGUGAGGAGGUCUGGCACUAAGAAGUCACAACAGGGAGCUUGGAAAGAGAAGGUGACAGUUUGUGACAGGCUGGGUGGCGUUUGGGUUGGUUAGGAGCAAGUGACUGGAGAUACACAGGGCAAGGGUUAUUUUUUUUCAGGUGCAUAUUGAGUGAAGUGUAAAGUUGAUGGCACACAGCCACAAGAUAAUCACCAACAUCUCAAUUGCAGGUCUGCAUCUCUGGGUGUGCACAGGCAUAGAGAGCUGGCAGAUAAAAGGGCUGAGAGAUUUGUUAUCAAGGCCCACUCGAGCACUUGCUGCUCCUCAGGGCUCGGCCAGUCCCUUGCAUAAGGCUCUGUGAGUCUAACGCCAGUGCUGCCAGUACAAAGGACACUGGGGCUCUAAGGGUGACAGCAGAUCCCAGAGCAAGCUGCCUGGGCUGCUGAGGAGGCAGGCUGGGUGGCAGAGCACCAGGAGGACUGCAAACUGAAGUACAGCUCUGAGGCAUCAAUAUCAAAGGCAGUAGCAGCUCACUUCGCCUUCAAACCCCCACUUUGUGCAGAAGCAGCUGUGUGAUAUCGUGCUAGUCGCUGACUGCAUCCUAUGGAUCCAGAUCGUUCCAAUCAGCAGUAACUGAGCCCAGUACAGUUCAUUUGUUCCAUUCCCCUAUGUGGGCACACCCUGGAACAGAAGCAACUCUUUGAUUUUCAAAUCAGCAGCUCUCUUAUGAGAUUUUAUAUACAGGACACUUUCAGAAUUUCUCAUAUGCUGUUCCUCUUAUACUUUUUCCAUGUCAGGGAAAUUUUGUUUUAACAUGCUUUCACCUUUUCUGCUCAUAAUGUGGUAUAUCAUAACAAAUCUUGUUUAUUUCUGAAAUAUUUCUUGCCUGCCAUUAUUUCUGAGGAUUUUUUCCCCAUUUUUAUCCUUUGAAUCAAAGCAAUUUAUGUUGGUCUUUACUGCAAACCAUCACUGUUAUUUUUGUUAAGGUUUGGUAGACUUUUUUAUUGCUUUGUGGAGGUGGGCAUUUCAAUUACGUAGUUUUAGGAUUAGCCAAAAUGACAGAGAAAUUUGGAAGCAACAAGGCCUGUUUGGAUCCACAUCAGCCUAAUAAAAAAAUCUGUAGAAAUACCAUGUGCCUCAUUUGUAGGAAAAAGUACUGAAUUUAAUUUCCCCUGUAGCUGAACGGUCACCCUCAAGCUGUCCACCCCUAUGCAUAUACACAUACAUAUAUAUAUAUAAAAUCCUCAUGGGGGCACUCUUGGUUUGAGCACAAUGUAGAGGAGGUGCUGCUUCAUCUUGAUUUUCCUUUGUAGUAGCCUGACAAAAAAAGCUUAAGGAGCUCCUAGGGUGUCUUUCAAGUCACAGUUAAAAAUAAGCUAAAAUAAGUGUUACAUAAGGCAAAGGAGCUUCAAUUCUGUAAUUCUGGUAUAAAGCAAAUCUAGUUAUAUAAUACCUACUGAUAGAAUUUUGACUUUCACUUAAAAUAGGGUCAUAGUAGGAAAGGUCAUUAUUUAGAAAUUUGGGGGUUAGUUGACUUGCCUGUCUCAUUGCUUUUCGUAUUUCUUUUGCAACCAUUACUUUUUUGGCGUGUAAAAGGAGGGGGGAAAUAAACUGUCACUGUAUGUGAUGUUGUGGCUUUCCUGCUGUUACAGGUUAUGAAGUACAACCCAUGGUGAUGGGGAAAUCCGAGAUACCUGUGGCAAGAAUUCAUCUGGUAAUUUGGAGGAAGCUUACUGCUUGUGUCCAUUUCCCAAGCCGACAAUAAUUGAACUGAAAUUAUUUCUACAUUUGUAUACUGUUAACCUUCCUGACCAGUUGGAGUUGUCUUUGUUAUCAUUCUUAACAAGCACAAUUUUUACUUGUUCAAAGAGCAGACAUAUAAAUACAUUAUCUAUCAUAACAACGCCAUCACAAAGCAGCCCAAGAAAAAUUAGCAGGUAUACAUUAAACACCUAUUUUUGCUGUUUUUGUCUUGCUGCAAGAACAUUUAGUAGGUAAAACUGAACUGUGUCCUGGGCUCUUGAGUGAGGAAUUCCUUGGAAGAAACAAGCCUUGUAUUCUUCACAAGAAGGAUUAGCAGUUCCUAAAUGCCUGACUAAUUUCUUCAACACAGUCCAUGUCGCUGGUACAAAGGGAACUGCAGAACUCCCAAUACUUCACUGUUCUCUGCUUCCACUUAACUGCAUCAGGACAGAAGCAGUAAAAGAAAGAACUAGACAGGGCAGAAGAUCUGAGCUCGGAGCAGUUAUGAAGUCAAGUCAAUCUGAAUCAUUUGCAAUGUGUAUUUCCACUCAGUGUGGAAGGAUCAGCUCUGAAAUGUUAAAAAAAGCCUCACGAGCAGGAAGCAUGUCAGUCGUCUUUUUAAUGGAAGUGUGGAUGAACUGGGGGAAGUCUCCAGGGAGCAGAGGGGGGAAAUUUGAGUCAGAGGUUACUCGUGGGCUAUUUCCACUAGGAGAACACCAGCCCUCUGCAGCAGCCUCUGCUUUCCUGCCAGCAGCUCCGUGUCCUCUGUGCUCCACAGGCACCCAGGCUGGGAGCUGCAGCUCCAGCAGGGAUCUCAGCAGAGGCAGGAGACCUCUCCAUGCUUCGGGAUAAUGAUUAUUAUUACUGCCAACACCCCUUUUGGGUGACUGUCAGCCUCAACUGUAGCACAAAAUUGGCUGUCCUCGUUCGUUAAUUAAUUUUGUUUGUAAAAUACUCCUCUGAGGGAGAGGGAAUAAAUGUUACCAUUAAGGACUUAAAUAGGCUUUCAGAUGAAAUACCAUAACCAGCUGCAGGUCAGCAACAAACCAUUCUUUGUUAAGGUGUUUUCCUUUUGCAGAGAUACAGCCUGAAUUAGCUGAAUAA